AUUUUUAAAACCUCCUCUUUAAAGAUUUCCUCUUGAAGAGACAGCUCACUUUCUAGAUAGUCCUGUAUGGAAGUGGACUGCUGAAGAAAUUAGUGUUUCCAUUCCCCUCCACCGUCUCCCCCAUUUUUUCCGAACAUUUCUUUCUGUCUUUGUCCAUUUUCAUCGCUGAGCUGAAGAGCAUGCUUUAUCAGAAACCCUUUUGUCCCUUUUCUUUUCCAUGCUUAGAGGGAAGUUUCUGACUUGGCAGAAUGCCUUAGAGUUCUUGGGGUCUGAACUCCUCUGAUGCCUUCCAAAGUCACGUAGCUGUAAGACCCAGCGGGUGCCAGCCGGGAGGGUGACUCCAGCUCAGCAGCGUGUAUGGAAGUGCAUUGUGACCAUGAAGGAGACUGCCAGUGGCCAAGCCACCUAGUGAGCUCCCUACCAAGGAACCUGGGUGUCACCUGCAGGUGGCCAGGAGCCAGUUUUUAUGCCAGGCAGGGGACUGGUUGGACUCUAUUGAGGCUUCUUCCUGUCUGUGAGGAGCACUCCUGUCCCCCUCGUGGUAGGGAUACCUGUCACCCCAUGAAGGGGCAGGGUGAUGGGUGUUGGCCCCAUUUUAGGCAGACUUGGGUGUCAUGACUUCUAGUUCACUUGUUUUAAACCUACCAGUGAUGGCAGCUGCAGCAUGCUGCCCUCUUGACACACUGCUGGAGCCCAGAGUACGGGUCAGAGUCCCAGCCGGAGCCCCUUCCCCAGGCAGUACCUGACAAGGAUACCUGGGAUUGGGGCCAGCUUUCCAGUCAGAUGCCACGCUUCCUUUGCCCACUGCCACGGGGCGCUAGGGCCUGCCUCAGGCUCUCCUGUGAGGGAGAACGACCUCUGCAGGCCCCUCUGCCUUCCUGCUCCCUAAUUGACCCUUUCUCUGGCAGGUGAGGUGAUAAAGCACGGGGACCUGAAAUGCGUGUGCGAUGAAGGAAUGCCCAUCUACAAAGCACCCCUGGAAAAAGGGAUUCUGAUCAUACAGUUUUUAGUAAUCUUUCCUGAAAAACACUGGCUUUCUCUGGAAAAGCUUCCUCAGCUGGAAGCUUUACUCCCUCCUCGACAGAAAGUGAGGAUUACAGAUGACAUGGAUCAGGUGGAGCUGAAGGAGUUUUGUCCCAAUGAGCAGAACUGGCGUCAGCACAGGGAGGCCUACGAGGAGGACGAAGACGGGCCCCGGGCUGGAGUGCAGUGCCAGACGGCAUGAUGUGGUGCGGGGCAGCGUGGCCCCACCGGACUAGCACAUGAUGAAUGUAAAGUUGGCACAAUGAAAAUGGCAUCGCUUUAAUGGCCUCGUGUUUGGGAUGUCCUGUGUAUGUGUUCAGCAUUCUUAAUUGCUGAGUGUCUUUUUGGUUUUUCUUUUGGUUGUAACUUAAGUUAUAGCUUAAUUUAUAUUUAAAUGUUUUAAGUGUAAAUCACCUCUAGUCUGCAUAUGGAAUCUGUUCAUUUCUGUUUUCAGGAUAUACUUUUGAGAUGUCAGUGAUUGCACCAACACUUUGUGCUUCUAGUGGCUUUGCCAUAAUUCAGUGUCACCAAUAAAGCACAGCCCAGUUAGCAGCUUAGCCCCCUAGCAAACCCCAAGGCACAAAGUGGGCAUCCUGGCUCAUCCUAGGUCUGUGGUUUCUCCUCGCUCCCUUGGCAGAGUUAUUGAGGGCAUGAUCUCAGGGCUGCUAAGAUAACAUUUCUGAGGAUUCUGGAUGAUCCUCUUAAAGAAUAAAAGCACAUCCGUGGAUCAGACAUGGCUGCAUGUGCCUGCUUAACAGGGCCAACUUAGUUCCUACUGUUCUGUGCCCUUCAGUGGAUGGAAUGUGAGUGUCUGAUCAUCUCUCUUGGAAGUUUUCUGAAACUUCCAAGCUCUGUGGUGAGGACAAACCAGUGUUUUGAAUCAUAUGCUGAUAACUGUUUGCGUGUGACCCUCACACCUUGUUCUUCAGGGUUUUAAUGAUUUUCUGUUGACAACUUUUGCAAUGCUUUCCCACCAGAGUGCUUACUUGUAAAGAAAACUAAAUUCUGUGUCCCCGGCAGCCUCAGUGCAGCAACAGAAGCCCAGGGGGAAUGCUGCUGGUUUGGCCCAUGGCACAGCCAGCUUCUCUGACCAGUAAUCCGGGGUGACUUGAGGGUCUGCAAAGGCAUAGAACUCCGCAGUGUUUUCCACCUCAUUCUCCCAGAUUGAGCUCCCUUCCAAAGGAUCGUUCCUCUCAUUGCACAGCCAUAUUACAAAGGGCUUCCUGCUCGUGAUGUUUUGGUAAGAACUUCUCUGAGUUCCACUGUGGAUUACAGUUUAUAUGGACUACUACUGUAAAUUAUAGCUUGUUUGGAGGGAUAUUAGUCAUUAUUUUAUUCCUGACAGGUAGACUACAAUUCGAACUUAGGGUUACCUCAGUCUUUAGCCAUUACUGCUUAUUUGUUUUCCCCAAGUCACAAAAAACUUGUAAGCUGCUGGGUUAAAGCAGAGGCCACCUGUCAGAUCUUCCCUACCCUUAUUUGGUUACAUGGCACCUGAGAGUUUCACUCAGACCAGGGAUCUUCCUUAGGAGGGUCAAAGCGCAGAUCAGACCAUGCAGGUAAGGUGAACCAGCUGCAUGGACCAGAUUCCUGCAAAACAUUGCCAGCUAGUGAGGCAUAAUUUGCUCAAAGUAUAGAAACAGCCCACCUAUGCCCACUUUGACCAUUGGUCAGGAUAGAUAUAAAAUCACUUCUUCCAACGAAGCCUAUGUGAAAAUCUGUUUAUAAAUGGACCACAACUCUGGGGUGUCGUUUUUGUGCUGUGACUUCCUAAUUAUUGCUAAAGAACUACUGUUUAGUUGGUAAUGGAGUAAAAUGACGUUCAGCUCCUCCUUGUCAUGUAAGAGGAAUUUGGAGGAUGUUGCUUAAAAUUUUAUUCCACCUGUACAUUUGUCACUUUAAAAUUAAAAUUGAGCUAGUGUGAGAGACAA
rnacentral:sRNA from 1 species